rnacentral:rRNA from 1 species
CACGUAGGGCGCAAGCGUUGUCCGGAAUUAUUGGGCGUAAAGAGCUCGUAGGCGGUCUGUUGCGUCUGCUGUGAAAACCCGGGGCUUAACCCCUGGCUUGCAGUGGAUACGGACAGACUAGAGGUAGGUAGGGGAGAAUGGAAUUCCCGGUGUAGCGGUGAAAUGCGUAGAUAUCGAGAGGAACACCAGUGGCGAAGGCGAGUCCCUGGACAACUCCUGACACUGAGGCACGAAAGCUAGGGGAGCAAACAGG